rnacentral:rRNA from 1 species
AGUGAACGCUGGCGGUAGGCCUAACACAUGCAAGUCGAACGGCAGCACAGUAAGAGCUUGCUCUUACGGGUGGCGAGUGGCGGACGGGUGAGGAAUACAUCGGAAUCUACUUUUUCGUGGGGGAUAACGUAGGGAAACUUACGCUAAUACCGCAUACGACCUACGGGUGAAAGCAGGGGAUCUUCGGACCUUGCGCGAUUGAAUGAGCCGAUGUCGGAUUAGCUAGUUGGCGGGGUAAAGGCCCACCAAGGCGACGAUCCGUAGCUGGUCUGAGAGGAUGAUCCGCCACACUGGAACUUAGACACGGUCCAGACUCCUACGGGAGGCAGCAGUGGGGAAUAUUGGACAAUGGGCGCAAACCUGAUCCAGCCAUACCGCGUGGGUGAAGAAGGCCUUCGGGUUGUAAAGCCCUUUUGUUGGGAAAGAAAAGCAGCAGGUUAAUACCCCGCUGUUCUGACGGUACCCAAAGAAUAAGCACCGGCUAACUUCGUG